rnacentral:rRNA from 1 species
AUUGAACGCUGGCGGCAGGCCUAACACAUGCAAGUCGAGCGGAGCGGCGUUCGGGUGAGUAAUGCCUAGGAAUCUGCCUGGUCGUGGGGGAUAAUGUCCGGAACCGGGCUCUAAUACUGCAUUCUAUUAGAUGAGCCUUGGUCGGAUUAGCUUGUUGGUGGGGUAAUGGCCUACCAAGGCGACGAUCCGUAACUGGUCUGAGAGGAUGAUCAGUCACACUGGAACGGAGACACGGUCCAGACUCCUACGGGAGGGAGGAGUGGGGAAGAGUGGAAAAGGGGCGAAAGCCUGAUCCAGCAAGGCCGCGUGUGUGAAGAAGGUCUUCGGGUUGUAAAGCACUUUAAGGAAGGAGGCGUUACCAGAAGAAUAAGCACCGGCUAACUUCGUGCCAGCAGCCGCGGUAAUUC